rnacentral:rRNA from 1 species
UACGGAGGGGGCUAGCGUUGUUCGGAAUUACUGGGCGUAAAGCGCGCGUAGGCGGAUCUGCAAGUCGGGGGUAAAAUCCCGAGGCUCAACCUCGGAACUGCCUUCGAUACUGCGGGUCUCGAGUCCGGGAGAGGUGAGUGGAAUUCCUAGUGUAGAGGUGAAAUUCGUAGAUAUUAGGAAGAACACCAGUGGCGAAGGCGGCUCACUGGCCCGGUACUGACGCUGAGACGCGAAAGCGUGGGGAGCGAACAGG